CUAUUUGUUGCCAGAUUGUGACGUCAUAAACCAAGACCAGCUAAAACAAGUCAACAAAAGAACAUAAACAAAAUCGUAGUUGACAAUUAAAACUUUAUUUUCUCUUGAAAAGUUACUGUUUUGGUUUAUGUUAAAUAUCUUUGUUAUUAAAUUAAGCAUCUAAGUUGUUUAUAUUUCAUCCAAUUUAUUUAUUAAAAGAUUACUCAUAUAUUAUGUGGAGUGGAAUUUCAAGUUAUUUAUUUAGGAGUGAAAAAGAAAUAGAUAAUGAUAAUGAAUUUGUAUUUAAUACUGUUGAAGAUGAUGAAGAAUGGUUAUAUGUGGAAGUCAGAGAUUUGAAACCAAAAGAAAAGACAAAAUCACAGAACGAUACACCAAAUUCAUAUUUAUUACUACCAGAUGUCGUCUUACAGACAAAUGAUACAAAGCAAAAAAAUCCAAUUUCAAAUGAAAUGGAUGAAAGCUGGUAUAUAACACCACCAUCCUGUUUUACUAUUGAUUCUCCUGUGCCUUUAGAGACUUCUCCAUUAGAAAAUCUUCUGAUUGAACAUCCUAGUAUGAGUGUAUAUGGAUCAAAACUUCCAUCUUCUUUCAAAAACUAUUUUUGCCAAAAUGUCAAAAUGAAAUCAAAUAAUAAAGAUGAAAUUGAUAAGAAGUUAAAAAAAAAUGAGCACAAUAAAGUCUACUCCAAAUGUAGUCAUAUGCCAAAUGAAGAAAAUUAUCAUAUUAAACAAGGAAUGCCCUAUGUGUCAAAUAAAACAAGAACAGCACAAAUUCAUUUAUGAUAGUCAUCAGUUUAUAUAUUCUUGGUUAUUUGCCAAAAUGAUUAAUUUCUUCUUCAAGAUUUAAUUGAAAAUAUUGAGAAUUUCAAUCCUGGACAACAAGCUAAAUGGAUAAGAGAACAGAAACAACUUCAACGUUCAUUUUUAAAUCGCAUAAAUCGUGUUCAUCAUUACCAAACCAGUCCAAAGCAUCCUCGU
rnacentral:misc_RNA from 1 species